AUUCUCUCUAACAGGAGGACCCAGAGAAACAGCAGCUGUUCUGUAUUCUUCAGAAAACCAGCACCAGAACAUUUUCAACCCACACCACUGAAAACAUUUAGCUUGAUUAUCCUUUGGCUUACACCUAUGUAAAUUAGGAAUAACUCCAGGAAGGCAAUGGAGAUCUACUUGUGUAACUGAGAAACGGAUGCUCCUGGCAGAGAUAUGUUUUAGACGUAUCUACCAGUCCAGGACUUUUAGUGACAUUACAAUCAGCUUGAACAGUGGAACCCUAUAGACAACUAUCUACAAGAAUCGCAUGGAUCACCACACCUACCUUCACAGAUCCACUAAUCACCCUAACAACCUCAAGACAUCUGUUAUCUACAGCCAGGCACACAGAUACCACAGAAUAUGCUCUGAGAAAAAAAGUCUUAAAACUGCCUUCACCAAACAAGGACACUCCAUCAAAGAAGUAGAUUGCAUCAUGGAAUGGGCCACCCAAAUACCCUGAGAGAACCUGCUUCAAUAUGGAAAUAAUCUCCCCUCUGACUGCACACAGCUUGUUGUCACCUGUCACCCCACACUGGAACCCAUAAGGGGUACCAUUAAACAAUUACAACCCAUAUUUGAUGGGGAUCAUAUCCUGAAAGAAAAUUUUCCUAAGCCCCCUCUUCUGGCCUUCAACCAACUCCCCCAGCCUUGCCAAGCUCAUCAUCAGAAGCAAGCUCCCCACAGACCAGGACACACCAACUCAAAGCAUCACCAGACCCUGCCAGAACAACAGAUGUAAAACCUGCAGACAUAUUUCCACAGCUACAAUGAUCAAUACCCCCCACAACACACCUGUCAAGAUGUAUGGGUCCUACAUGUGCCUAUCACAACAUGGUGUACCUCAUCUAGUGCACUAAAUGACCCAAUAACAACUAUGUGGAUGAACAAGACAAUCACUUCUCUCUUGAAUGAAUUCACACAGAAAGACAAAAAACAAAACCACCAUGUCACCUGUGGGUGAACACUUUUUGCAAAGGAUCACUCUGUAUCUGACCUCUCAGUCCUCGCCCUCAAAGGAAACCUGCACAACACUUUCAAAAGAUAGGAACUUAAAUUCACAACUUUGUUAGACACUAAAAAUCAUGGACUGAACAGAGACACUGGAUUUAUGGCUUAGUACAACAAUCUAUAACCCACUAAACUCCCCUCCUCCUCCCUCCCCCAGCUUUUUUGCCCCUUUUCUCCUUUCCCCCCUGUGACUGGAUGGAUGUUAACAAGCCACUUCACCUUGAAUGGUCCCUUGAAAUACAUGUUAACUCCUUACGCUAAACAAUCUAUUCCACCUUGUAUUUAGCUGUGAUGCUCUGUGAUGCAAUUAGUGCCAGCUGGCUCAGACUCAUGGGGCUCGAGCUAAAAGGCAGUUUAAUUGGGGUAUAGAUGUUUGGACUCAGGCUGCCGCCUGAACUCUGGGACCCUUCCAGCUCGCAGGGUCCUACAACCUGGGCUCCAGCCUAAGCCUGAAUGUCUACACCGCAGUUAAACAGCCCCUUAGCCUGAGCCCCACGAGCCUGAGUCAGCUGGCCUGGGUUUUUAAUUGCAGUGUAGACAUAGCCUCCGUGUACCUUUCCCAGACCUGAAGAAGAACUCUGUGUAAGCUUGAAUACUUCUCUCUCUCACCAACAGAAGUAGGUCCAAUAAAAGAUAUUACCUC